rnacentral:lncRNA from 1 species
GUCACUAGGUUUUGCUCUGUGUAAAUUUAUGUUAUGCUGGAGGUGUAGCUGAGGGGUAGAACUCUUCCCUGGCAUACAUGAUGCCCUGAGUUAUGUCCCCAGUACUGGCCCCAUUCCCCCCAGAAGAAUGUCUAAAAACAGGGACAAUUGCACUUCUUGUAACUUGGAUGUCUUUUAUUGUUCUCCUUUUAAUUGCUCAUUAGGACUUUCAGUACUAUGUUGAAUGAACAGAAGGGACAUCAUUGAAGGCAAUGAUCUAAUCUUAGCGGAAAAUCUUGCAGCUUUUCACUGCUGAGAAUGUUAGUUUUGGGCUUGUCAUAGAUUAUCUUUAUUGUGUUGAGGUACAUUCUUCCUAUACCUAAUUUGUUGCAAGCAAAUAUGAUAAAAGAAGCUCAGUCCAACAUUUAGUUAUAGCAAUUUCAUAUGAUUUCUGUGAUUAUUUUCCAAAUUAAUUUCAUUUUGCAGUUGUUCUGGCACCACAGUACUUUCAGACUGCAAACAUUUUCACAGGCUUUGAAAGGCUUGGUGGCCUUGGGCAUGGUGCUUACCAUAUCCAAGGACAACAUAGCUCAGAUACCUUGAGAAACUAGCUGGGGACCUUGUAUAGUGCAGCACUGACCCUUAGACCCAGCCACAGGCAGUGGCAAGACCCUGCAUCACUGUGGACAGACUAAAGUCUAGGUCAAAGGGAAGAAAAAAUCUUUUCAUACUGUCUCCUGACAAUAAUUAAUUGGGGCAGGAAGAAUGCAGUAAAGAUAUUUCUAUUUCUAUGUAUAUACUCCAGGAUAGGGCAGAGGUAAGAUGCUCUGGGGCUGCAGGCACUCAACAGAAACACCCAAAACACUGUGGACCUCCUGGGCCAGGUGGCAACGAGGCAUGUGCAUAAGCCACAGACCGGCAGGCAGGGAGCACCCCCAUGUUCUACGGAGAACAACAGAUGGCAAACACAGUGCCCUUGUGCCUAGAUCACAGUAGUCCACACCAAUCUCUGGAAUAGAGUGGAUUUCACUCCUCUGGCCAACAAGAGUAUGGCUCCCUGACUGUGGAACAUCAGAGGGUAAAGAACUGCUACUUUUGGAGCUCUCAUCCAACUGCUGAGGUCCACUUCACCACAUGACUUUGGUUUGGUGUAGUCACUCUCCAGAAGGAGCAGGCUUGUGGUGCUGGAAGUUGUGGUGAAGGUGCAUCAGAGGCCGCCCUUCAAGGAUGCCUGCAGGAGCGUAGUUGGCCACUAGUUUCCAGCUGCAGCACCUCUGCUGCAGAGUUCAGAAUGAGGCCUCACUCUUCCCAGUUAAAUCUCAGCCAAUGCCUAACCACUUGUCAUGGUCAGAGACAUGGAUGCCUUGCCAUGCCCACCCAACACAAGACUCCUUAGUGAAAAAUUUGGUCCUGGAAGCCCUGCCUGGACUGUCCAGGCUUCUCUGAGCUGCAUGGCACUUUGAGACUCUCCCUACAUAGUACUCUUUCCUUCCUUCUUUUAGGUAUCAGAUUUGUAUCAUGGGCUGAAGGCUGUUGUCUUGAUUCCUCUCUCUUCUUCCAAUAAAUCCUUUGCAUUCUUCCUCCACCCUGGCCUGCUUCCUGAGGACCCAAAGUAACAGAACUACCUACCCGAGUGUGAUUGGAGAAAGCUGACUGGCUCAUUCUCUUAAAACAUUAAAGUUUAGCCAAAAAAAAAAAAAAAAAAAUCCUCCUAAAAUGUGGCCAGGGGGAAUCACUAAAAAGAAAUGCAAUUAUUUCAUUGGAUUGCUGCCAAAAAGCACUCUUACAGAUAGGCUGACAUCUUCUGGAGGUUAACCACUUAUGUCUGACAGGUGGCCGAACAGGAAUCAUCCUGGGAACUGGUUAUAAUCUAUUUAUUUAAAAAUAUUUAUCAUUUAUUGAGUAAUUACCAUGUGACAGCAAUGCUGGUAAGAGCUUUCCAUACAUUGUUUCAUUUGAUACUUACAUAAUUCUUAUACGUUAUCUCCAUUUUUCAGAUAAGGAAAUGGAGUUAAUUAGAUGUUGAGGUUGAAUUUAAAUCAAAGACUGGUUGAUGCUAAAGCUAAAACCCUUCAGGUUCUAACAGACAGACAGACAGGAUAGACACACACACCCACACAUGCGCAUACACACACACACACACACACACACACACACACAACCUCAUGAUACCUAUGUAAAAUUUGAGUUUCCAAAGCAGGAAAAAAAGUCUGUUUACAAGAGAAAACAUAAUACAAACUGAGAAAUAAGGCCAAUGAAUAGAACUGGCCUAGAAAUCUGUAGAGAAGCAAAGACAGGAAGAUUUUACAGGAAAAAUUUUAGGUGUCCUGAUCUGUUCUAAUUACAUAUCCUUGGAGACACAUGGCCUUUCUGAACCUUAGAUUUCAUAUAUUAAUGAACUGGUCGACUAGAUGAUUUCUCGAUUUCAUUUCAGCAUUAACAUACUUUUUCUUUUUGGAUAGAACUUUUUAUUUAGUCAUUUUGUAUAAAAUCAAACUAAAAAAUUUGUUUUCACCAAACCCCAUAAGAAGUAAAAUUGUUUGCUUCCAAUACGAACAGUAUGUUUCAAAAUCCACCAAGAGAAGCAACUGGCUAGGACCCUGGGAGGCCUGGUCCUCUCACUACUCAAUGCUGUUUAACUUUCAGGGAAAGGCCUCAAAAGCCCCCCCAGUGGUGGGGCAGAGGAGGACUGCGCCACUCAGAGAAGCCAAGGCUGGCAUUGUCCCAGUCCCACUGCCCCACCUGUCCUGCAGCAGGGAGCUUUUCUGGGAGGAAUGAGCCUGGAAGAAGGAAUGUAAAAAACUCACUAGUUUACUAUGUUAAAAAAAAAGAUGGCACAUUUAUUGCUACAUAAAUGUUAUAUACAUAUUGUGUUUUCUGUUACAGUGACAGAAAAAAUUUGAACUUCUUGCUGCUGGUUGAAAGGUUUAUCAAUAAUACCUUGCAUUUGACACAGGAUACAAAUCUGCAAUAAAUCAACAGUGGAAACUGGGGAACAAGAUGAGAAGCAAUUCAUCUCGAACGUUAGCUCUUACAAUACUCCAUAGGUACUACACGGUAUGCUAGAAACCUACUAUGGUCUUAAAAUGCUAUUGUAAAUUUCUGAUAUUAAUGAACAGGUUAUGGUAAAUAACCCUACAUUUUUACUACCUAAUAUAAUAAAAUAAAGUAAGAAACUUUUUACUGAAAACUUUCGAUUUCAAAAAUCUAGAAAGAGUAAUAUUUAGAAUUCAAGAAAUUUUCUUACAAGAUUAUUGUAUAAAAGACUAGCUACAGUGAAAAAUAAGCCAAAUGUUUUUUUCUUUCUAUUUUAUGAAGGAAAGCUUCUGGGCAUACUGCAAAGUCUAAUAUAGCGAAAAAGACAACAAGCUCUGAAGAAAAAGGCCAGGCAGUGCUGUAUGUUCACUCACACAUCAUAAGCAACAACUUCGUUUAGCUGAUUAACACUGAAAUGAAGAACAAGGCCACAGAUAGAGUCUGAUGUAAUUGGAGAAUAUAUGCAAAUUAAGGUAGCCAAAAAGUCCACUAAGUUCACAAACAGUUGAUUUGUUAGGAAAUCAUCCUGAUUGGACGAUCCGAAGUUCCGCCUUAAUUGUUUUUGUUCUUUCAAAUUAACAGAAAUCUUUAAUUUACAUAGUGAUUUGGGUUCUUUCUUCUGUAUGCUGACUGCCCUUGCUGAUGCUAGCUCUGAGAAUUACUAAGCCAAGACAACCUUGUUUAGCAUGUAUUUCUCUCCCAGGUUUGUUGUGGUGGAAGACAGAUUUCAUGGAAGUUCAGUCAUUAUGAUGUCUUAAAAAAUUACUCUGAAAAAUGAGAGAGGUGCCCAGUGCACAGUAUUAAGAUUAACUGACAAGUAUUGGUUUAAUGCUAAUCUGGCUAAUCUUGGGAUGGGGGCUGAUGGUUUGCAGUUGAUUAAAUCACCCACUGAAUUCUCCCCUACCCAUCCAAAUGACAGAGAAUAAAGGUGAGGAGAAGGGGACCUGGUAACCAGUGUUCUUGGACUCCAUCAGGUAAUGAACCUCAAAGUGGUGUGUUCGCUUAUCACACUACCUGCCUUGAUGACUACUUGGUCUUGUUAUAUUCACCAUAAUCAUGGCCUGAAAAAUCAUCUUUGUAUUUUAAAUGAAUUUUGUGCUUACUUACAGCUAACACUUUACAAGUACUAUAUUAUGUAGUACUUACUGCUUGGAAAACAAAGCAAUUUCUAAAAAGUAAAUUCUUCCCUUGUAAUUUACACUUCUUGCUAUUACAAGCUUUACUAUGAAACCUAGAAGCUUGAAAAGUCUUGGUGUUAUUAGAAAUAAAGCAAUGUUUAUUUGUGGGAAAAACCUAAGGAAAAUUUUCCCCUUUUAAAAUCUUAGCUAGGCUAUGGUCACAGAUGGUCUCUGCUCACCACUGUGGAUACAUGUGCAAAGCACACAGGGCUGCAUGGAUGAUUCUGGACUGUGACCAUAACUACUCAGAUUUAGAGACCAAAUGUCACACCCACAGAGAAAAAAAAAUGCAUGAAAAAUGAGAGAAAAUGCUAUACCAAGUAAUAUUUUCCUAUUUCAUGGAAAACACUAUUUAUAUGGCAAAAGGAGAGGAGAGGGCAACAAAAGACUUUUCCCUUCCUUUUUAAGACACUCACAGGUAUGCCGGGAAUGCUAAGGGCCAAUGGUUGUCACUGUUUUGUUCUCUGCAUGGGAACAGCUUUAACAAAUGCUGGCAUCAACCUUUUCCCUUCAUAUGUAGACCUUACAGUUCCAUAGCAAUAAAUAAAAUUUGUAGUUACAAUGCAUUUGUCAAUUCAGUUUAGGCACAAGGCAACUUCCACGAUGAGUGGAGAGAUCGAGACAGUCUCUGAUUGUGCAGAAGCAACACACUGCUUGCAACAAAAUGAUAGGUUGCAAACAUCUCAUGGGUUGACGUUCUAUCUGAUGAGCUUCCUAUCUUCACUUCUGAUGGAAGUGUCGACCAAUUGCUUUGAUCGUAGGUACAUUUGAGUUCCUUGUUUCAAGUGUUUUGUGUUUUCUUCUCCCUCCUGUCAGGUUUGUGUCUUCAGAUAAUCUGAGUUGUCCAAGUCCUUAUGAGGAGAGUUCACCUUCUAUCUAGCCUACUGAUAACUCUGGAACUAUAGCAGGGAGAGAACAGUACCAGUUAGUAGUUAAUGGUUACAAAUGAACACCACCCUUGCCCAAAAUAAAACAAGCUGGCAUUCUUCAUUACACCUAGGUUUUUAAUAAAUUAGUAGUCUGCUAAGAGACUAAGGUAUUAGUCCUCCCUCAUCCAAAAGGAAUUUCCCCUCAUCCCAGGGGAGUACAUCCCCAGGUCCUUAGCAGAUGCCUGAUGCCCGAAACUGUGGACAGUACCACAUCUUACGUGCACUAUAUGCUUUUCCCUAUACAUAAGUACCUAGGAUAAAGUUUAACUUAUAAAUUGGGCACAAUGAGAUGAACAGCAAUAAAUAACAAAAUAUGGUAAUUAUAACAAUACACUAAUGAGCUGGUGCUUUGGGGCCAUUAUAAGAUAAAACACAGAUUCCUUGAACACAAGCAGUGCAGCAGUGCGAGAUAGACGUGAUAACUAGCCCAUCUGCUAAGCAACAAACAGCACACAAGUGUGGCUACACUGCGCAAAGGGAGGAGUCACAUCCCAGGUAGGACAGAGAGAGGGUUCAUUAUACUACUCAGAAUGGCCUAUAAUUUAAGAUUUACACAUUGUUACUUCUGAAAUUUUUCAUGUAACAUUUCUGGACCAUGGUGGACUCUGAGUAACUAAAAUCACAGAAAAGUAAGCCCUCCAAUAAGGGGGGAGCACUCUGAUACAAUUUUACCUGAUGUAUGUGUUAAGAUUUUUUUUUUGGUACCAGGGAUCAAACUUAGGACCUUGCGCUUGUGCAGGGCAGGUGCAUUGCCACUGAGCCAAAUCCCUGG